rnacentral:lncRNA from 1 species
GACUAACAAAGGCCAAAGGCUCCUGACUUGGGACAGGCGUAAAAUUGCGGCGUGGAUAAACAUGUUUUUGAGAUCUCAACCAUCCCCUACACCUCUAGCCGCACAACAAUACGCACAGUAAAACUCAGUUUAAGAGAAGUCCGAGUCCGAUGUCAGAAUAUGAAAUAAAAGAAAAUAAACAAAAUGACAAUAAUACAUAAAUAACAACAG